UUUUUUUUUUUUUUUUUUGACAUGGAGUCUUGCUCUGUCACCUGUCGCCAAGGCUGGAGUGCAGUGGUGCAAUCUUGGCUCACUGCAACCUCUGCUUCCUGGGUUCAAGCGAUUCUCCUGCCUCAGCCUCCCAAGUAGCUGGGAUUACAGGCGCGUGCCACCACACCUAAUUUUUGUAUUUUUAGUAGAGACAGGGUUUCACCAUGUUAGCCAGGCUGGUCUCAAACUCCUGACCUCGUGAUCCACCUGCUUUGGCCUCCCAAAGUGCUAGGAGUACAGGCAUGAGCCACCGCACCCAGUCAAGACCCCAACUCUUUAAAAAAGAAAAUAAAAGAAAUAGUUGACGUAUCCUGUGCCAGGCUUGUUUUUGUCUUUGUGAGGUAUUGGAGGAAGGAGGUGCUGAGAGACGUGCGUUUCUUCCCAGAUAUUUUCAGGCUCCAGUCUGAGGGUCCAGUGCUAUCAGGCAUGGCUCCCAGGCAGCUGCCUGCUGACGUUCUGACUGUCCAUACUGCGAUGGUCCAUGACCUGUCCUGCAGGCGGAAGGGUGGGUCUUGCCCAGCUGGUUCCAGUUAGGCACAAGAAAGCGGGCGAGGGGUAUAUUUAGCCCUGGUUUCUGGAGGAGCCAGAGGUCUUUCAUCCUUGGAGGCGCCAGCCGCAGUGGGACACAGCUUGCCAACGCUGGGCUCCUGGGCUGCAGGCUUCAGGGCAGAGAGUGGGGUCAGGGAGGAGAAGGGGCAAAUGUGAUCUUCGCCAUUUCAGGGGCCAGAGUUGGGGGCCAAGUGGUGAUGCCAGCCAGGGCAAGCGAGACUUGACUGCCAUGCUCAGAAUAUGUCCUGUAAGCUGGAGGGCUCCUGUAGGUAGUGGAGGGCAGGCCUGGGGGGCAGGGGGGACCUGCUGCCUGCCCCUCCAGCCCAGACCCAGCCUAGGCCUAGUAUGUCCACAGUGUCAGGUUUAUUCUCUGGUGCUUAGCCCUGGCCUGGGAAUCUGGGGGCCUGUCCUUAUUAGAAGUGAGCAGGGGCAGAGUUCAAGGAGUAGGGAGGGGUACCCAAGACUGCCUGACAUGUUUGAGUGUUCAUGUUUGGAGAAGGUGGGAGGGUUGGGGGGCAGAUAUACACAUGCAGGAGAGAAAGAGGCAGGCACAGAGGGGUAACAAUAUGCCACAUGGUGUGUUGGGGUCUACAGGAGGGGCACACAUGUUUGAUUCAGCACCAUGUGCUGGGGCUAUGUAGUCUGAACAUGGUGUGAUGGGGCUUGUGGGCUGGGACCCCAUGAGGCAUGGAGGAUUGUGUUGCUGGGAUCUGGUGGUGUGUGGGUGUGAGAUGACCCACGGGUGACCAUGGCAUGCUCCAUUGUGGGUGACUAGGACAGCGUGUGACUCCAUCAUGCUGUCCGUGGGGGCAGCCUAUGAGUAUGACUGGAGACGAGGGACUAGAGUUUAAACUGUAUAACUGUGAUCUUGUGGGGUGUGUAAUUAUCCCCCUGGAUGUUGGUCUCUGUGUGUGAGACUGAGUAAACACAUGUGUGGAUGGGGAUUUGGGGCUCUGGCUCUGCGUGUGCGUGUGUGUGUGUGUGCGUGCAUACGCACUGUGAUUGUGAUUCUGAGUGUAGCUAGGUGUGUGAAACGUGCACAGACUUAUCAGUCACUGCAAACAAGGCCUGCUACCUGCCGAGGUUCAUGGCCUCUUGCCCUUCCGGGGACCCCCACCCCAAAGCCACAGGCCCUCUGGGCCUGAGGGAGGGAACCCUACAAGUUGUAAGCGCCUGUCUCUCUCCUAAUCCUUUCACCCCCACUCCCUCCGACCCGUCCCCACAGACUGCAGGCUUCUACCUGCCCCGGGCGGGAGGCAAGGGAGAGAAAGAGGAGCCUGCCCGCCUGCCCGCCGCCC
rnacentral:lncRNA from 1 species